UACGGAGGGUGCGAGCGUUGUCCGGAAUCAUUGGGCGUAAAGCGCACGUAGGCGGUCCGUUAAGUCUCUUGGUGAAAGGCUGGGGCUCAACCCUAUGCAUGCCGGGGAUACUGGGGGACUGGAGACAGGUGAGAGGCGAGCGGAAUUCCGGGUGUAGCGGUGGAAUGCGUAGAGAUCCGGAAGAACACCGGAGGCGAAGGCGGCUCGCUGGACCUGAUCUGACGCUGAGGUGCGAAAGCGUGGGGAGCGAACAGG
rnacentral:rRNA from 1 species